UAAAAUCUAAUCUGAUCUAUUAAUGAUAGAUUUGGAUGAAAUUUUCUAUCUUCCCAAUUUUUGUUUAAAGAUGUUAUUAUAUAUUUAAUAAUUUUAAAUUUAAUUGCUAUAUUUAUAAUUAUCUUUUAUUUUAAGCAUGCUGAAUUGACUUUUUCAUUUUAUGAUAAUGUCUAUUUGAAAUCUUUUAUAAACACAGUAACUUUAAUUUGAAUGGUUCACAUUAUACUUAAAGUAUGUCUUUAAAGUUAUGUCCUUUCUGUUGCUAGAAUAAUGAGAAAACCAUACCUAAAUUUCCAAACUAUUUUAUUCUUUUUACUACCUAUUAUAAUUUCUCAAUAAAUUAAAUGAAGUGAUUGUGAAUUAAUUUAGCUUAUCUUCAAAGAAGUAAUCCCAAGUCUUGAAGUAGAAAAGGGUAUGGUGGUGAAGUGGGAAUCAAGUGUUUUAUAACACCAAAUCUACGAUAAUAUUUGCAUUUCAAACAUAUCAAGCAACGAAUCCACAUCCUAUUCUCUUCUUUAAUACUUUAUAGCAUUUUUAGAAUAAAGAACAAUCCCAUCUCCUUUUUCCCUCUCUCUUUUCAUCAAUCUCACAACAAAACCCUCUUCUUUUAAAAAAGUGAUACAAUAACACCCGAACAUUUUCAUUAGUUAAACACAUUCUUAGCACCUUCCUCAUUUUCAAAAUAUUUUAAAAGAUAUUUCAUUAAGCACGAUCAAAUUCUUUUAUUCUCUACAAAGAGUGUCCUAUAUAUUAGAUCACUUUUCGUUAAUGUUUUACAUUUAGGGUUUACCGUUACUUAUUCUUUUUUCUCAUUCUUCUAUUUUUUUCUAAAAAAAUCUAGAAAUAAUAACAUGUUUGAUUAAAUUUUUUGUUUAUUAUUUCUUAAAAAACUAAAAACUUUAUUUGAUAACAUUCUGCAGUUUGAUAUAUAAUAUAAAAAAUGUAUAACAUGCAUUAACACGAUAACCUAUCAUAUCAAGUUUAAUCUAAUUAAAACUAAUGGAUAACUAUUUAAAUGUGGAAUGGUUAACAUAUCCUUUCAAAGAUGGUGUCUAUUUUAGGUUCAUCAAUCUUGAUGAUAUAUUUUUGUUGGACUCAAAUCUAUUUUGGCAUACAAAAAUAAACGAAUUUGUAAAAUUUCAACGUCAUUUUUUAUCGGAGGAUAUUUAUAGAACUAGCCAUUGGAGUGGAUGACAGAUUACCAAUUAAUCUUAAUGUUAGACACCAAUGGGAAAGAAUAUAAUAGAGUAUUGUAAAGUUCUUUUGAUCUUACAGCCAUUUUUUUAUAAAAUUAGGGACCUUAUAGAACUUGAAUGUCGUAAGUAGUUGAUUAAUUAAUUUGGUUUUGUACCAACUGCUUGGAAUAUGUGUGUAACGUUAGCUGAUUAAUUAGAUAUUAAUAAGACAUUAAACUGAUUGGAAUAUAUGUGUGUGUAACAGUUAACUAAUAAAACUAAGUAUUAAUAAGACAUUUGAAUAGAAUAAUAUCUUUACAAAUUUGAAUCUAAUUAAUUAAGUAUUAAUAAGAUAUUUGAAUAGAACAAUGCCUUUACAAGUUUGAAUGGAAGGUAUAUAUAGAAUUAUUGUCGUGACAAAUUAUGCCAUUUAGAUUAAAAUAUGGCUUUUAAUGUUUACGAGCAAAAAUCAAAUGGGGGACUUAAAGGUCCAUUAAAUAUAUAUAAAGAAUAUAUUAGACAUAAACUUGAAAAUUGAAUAAAAAAAUUUAUAAUUGGGGUUCUUUAAAAAAUAUAAGGACAAAAUAUUUAUAUAUAACAAUUUUGAAAACCGAAAAAUCCUACGUGCUCACGGUGAAAAAUGCAAAAAAAAAAAAAAAAGUUGAUAAAAACAUUUAGAAAAAAUAGCUUAUGACACUUUUUUUUUUUUUUUUUUUUUUUUUUUUGCAUAUUGCGAAUAUGACAAAAUUAAUGAUAUUAGACGACUAUCAAACAACUAUUAUACGGUUAUCAAGUUUUUGCAAUGACCUCUACAAAAAAUGCUCCCAUCCUAAUAUAUUUGGGAGAGGAUAUCAACAUCGUUUAGAUUUGACUACAGAUCGUUUAGAUUUUUCUAUCCAAGUCUAAACCAUUUUUUUUCUCAAAAUUUUUGUGUUAAUUAUUUAGAUUUGAUCGUUUAAAUUUGGGUAGACAAAUCUAAACGAUUUUUUUAUAGAGAUUUAUUGAAAUGUUUUAUAUUUGAUAUACAAUUUUGAACAAAUAGUACCAAUAACAGUUUGAAAAAAAUAAAAGAAAAAUGGCAGACGAAGAGAAAAAAGACGAUAGUCAACUUCAUACUUUUUUUUAGUUUGUUACACAUCUUGCAAUUAUUUUGUUGUUUUGUAAUAUUUUCAAAAAUUCGAGUUGUAAUUGAACUCUAUUCUUUUUAUUUAUGUACAUUUUCUUCUAUCCAAAAGUUAUUUCACUAAAUUUGAUUUGGAGUUUUUACUUUUCUAAUAUUGUAAAGUUAUAUACUUUAUAUUGAGUAUUAUAUUUCAACUAAUAUAUCAUUUUUAGAUUUAGUAUACUGAUUGAUCAGCUGGUAUACGAAAUAUAAAAAUUAUAUUAGUUCGUCGGGUUGAUAACCAUCCAGUGAAUUUGGUGAAAAACUAUCGAAAUAUUAUAUUGUUACCCUUGAAAUUGUAUUUUAAACAAUUAUUAUAUACACAUAUUUAAACAUAUACUUUUCUCAAGAAGCAUUGAUGUCUUGAUGCAUUUGCCAUGAAUAAGAUUUUCUAGUUAAAAUAAAUCAUUGUCUAAGAUAACUUAAUUGAAACUAAAAUAAGAACGUAUUUGAAUUGACUUUUUAAGUGUUUAAAUGAGUUAAAUAUUUAUGAUGAAAAAAAUGUUUACAAACAAUUAGAAAGUCAAUCGACGUUAUACCUUUAAUUGAUUCAUAUAUCUAAAAAUCGUUCCAUAAAAAAAAUAUCUAAAGGUUUUAAGACUUUCACAACAAUAAGCUAAAUGACACAAAAGUCUCGGGAUGGCUCUAUCGCCACGUCAAAGUUUAAGCCUAAUAUAUUCUUGCACUUUACCCACGAAUUGGUCUAGCUAUGCAAUCACAUGUAACUAAACGUUCCUAACUAGUGGGAUCUAUUUAUAAGAGGUAGAUGUAAAGGUAACAAUAACAAUAAUUUUCAUAAUUUUCAGUAUAUUUGAUCCAUGAAUGAAAUUACAUUACACUUGCAACCAUUUUUAUUAGGUGGAAAUUAAAACGUGGCCGGAGUGUUUAGCUGGUUUUCCCUUUAGUUCCUAAUUUAGUAUGUCUUUUUACAAUCUAAGGCAAGAACAUCUAGUGACCACUUGACCAACUAAUCACGUUUAGCUAAACACUUCUGGCAUCCUGACUAGCUAAACAUGGCCGAAGUGUUUACCUGGUCUUUCUUUUAAUCUAAUUUAAACGAGAGUAACAUAUGGAGAUUAUUGCUUUUAAUAUGCUAUUAUUGCCUUUAACUCUAAAAAUAUAUAAAACUCAAGCGAUUUAGAGUAACAUUAAGAGCCCAAGUUUUAACCAAAUAACCAAGCUCCUCUUAAAAUGUGACUCUUUCCCUGCUUGGACUUAAGCUCUUCCUAAGGAUGUGAAUAUUAGUGAUAUUGCAAUUAGCUUUCGUUAGGUAUGCGAGACAGCUUCCUCUCAUUUAAAGAUAUACCUUUCCUUUUCUAUUGUGGACUGCCUUCACGUGAGAACCUAAACUUCUCCCCAAGUCUUGAAAAUUCUUUUCUUGAAGAGUAAUGCCUUAGGAUAACUCUAAGGGAGAGAUCCUUCUCAAUCAACUUUGUCUUUAAGUUCCCCUUGACACAGAACAAUACUUCUCAAAAUUGCAGAAAACACCGUCACACCAAAGAAUAAAUACUUCCUUCUUGAAUUAAGCACUAUGCAGAAAGUGCUUAUUGUUACACUCGAUUAAAAACCUUCACAGACCACAAUGUGCAGCAACCCUGGUGAAAGAAGCAUCUGAGGUUUAAAAAGAUAGAAAAUAUCCCAUCAUGAAAAAGGAAAGCACCGAAAAGUAAAACAUGCAUACUAGAGAAAAUAAUUUGCAAAACAAUGUAGAUAAGAAAACAAAAUAUUCUACAGAUUUGGCAUCUUGACACGCAGCCUCUGAGACAAGAUCAUCGUCCUACAGGAACAAAAGCGAAGACAACUCAUAGACUGCCCAAAAGCGAUUUCAGAAGUGUUAAAUAAAUAUAUAUAGGCAAUGCACAGAUCUGUCAGUGAUCUCUUGGAACUUUUGUGAUAGCCUUUUAUAUCAUAUAUCUUCAAAUCUAUCAAUUUAGAACCAGUCACUGUCAAAAGCAGGUUGCCAUAUCUGUACAUUCUUGACCACGAAGGGUUCAUCAACUCUCUAACUUCAACACAAGAUUUAUCUUGGGUCUUUUAAUUACUUCCGAAAGUAAAAGAAUUCAAUCAUGUGAAAAAAAUAGGAUAUACCAUUUCCAUUGAUAUUCUUCUUUGACACCACAAUAUUAUGUAUAUAAUUAAAACACUUGCACGAAUAUUCAAAACAAAAAGAAAAGAUCCUAGAAGUUAAAUGAUAGUUGACUAAUGUUCUUGAACUGUUACCCAAUUUGUUAUACACAUGGAAGGUCGUCGUUGUAAAGUGAAUAUAAUUACAUGUAAAGAAUUGCCAUUGGUGAAGAGGAAAAUUGUGAUUGAAAAAGAAUAUUCUGUCAAAGGCCCAAUCUUUGGUGUUGUCAAUGGAGUCAGCAUCGGUUGUUGUAUCUAACCCUUUAGAUAAUUACUUUCCAAAAUUUUAAAAGUCUUAUUAAAAACCGUUUAGACCCGACCAUGAAGGAGUACAAAACAAUUGUUUGAUUGAUCAGUCGAUCAACUUAAUCUUUUACAAUUAUUGUCGGUUGGAUUUUUUUCUCAAACCAAUACCGUCCAAACCCUUCUUCAUCUUCGACCCACUGCCUUUAGUUUGAUCAAUUUUUAUCCGUCAACUUGAUUUUUCGAUCAUGCUCAUCCAUUUCUUAAUCUUUUGUCUUCAAAACUCACUUUCUCAAAGUUCAGCUUCCGCGGUACUAAUUUAUGGGAUGAAAGGCUUUGUACUUUCCAAAAGGCCCAAAACAAAAAACAAUAGCCUUAAUUAGGAACAUUUUGUUCCAUGCAAAUUAACAAGAUAGAGCCAACAUGAGUUCGGUUCAAUUGACAACUGUAUAUACUCGAGAAUAAGAGAGUCUUAGAUUCAAAUUCCUUCACUCUGUAUUUUGUAUUACGAUAUCUCUAAAAAUACAGAUACUUAAAAUUAUACAACAUAAUUUAUGUAACGUAAUUAUAUAAUAUCAUGAACCCCUUCCUUGUCAGUUUAGCUGAGACCAAAGGAUAUUUUAUUUGAUUUUAUUGAAGACUAUGCAAAGCUUGAGAUAUCUUCAAAGAUAUUUUCUUGUAAUUUAUAAUUAAGUCACCCUCAAGGCUAUGGCUAUUUUAGUUUAAUUCCAAUAUUAUAUUUAUCUAUCUUUGCUUCUGUACUGAUCUAAUCUAACUGUGGCCACACAGUGUGUGCACAAUUAUUAUAUUUGAUAGUUUUCUACACACAUUAUUCAACAAUAAUUAACACAAAAACACACAAGAAAACAUCAAAAUUUGAAUCAUCUUAUAUCAAUUAAUUAAUUAUUAAUUAACAUAAGUUUGAAAGAAUACAUUGGACGAAAAAUGUUUAAAAGAUGGUACGGAAUGAACAAUGAAACAAUAUAAAGAAUGUAAAAAAUUAACACAUAUAUGAUUUACUAAUAGUGUAUUAGUUGCUACGUCCACAAACAGAGAGAACUAAUAUAUUACAAGUGAGAAUGUUCUAGAAUAAAAACGAUGCUACUGAAUUAUGAAGUUUAUAUACUGCACUCCUUUAAAUCUAAGAAAAAAGAAAGUAAAUAACUACAUAUGUUCAAUUAAGAAAACUAAAAAAAAAGUUAGAUUGUCUCUAUAGAGACCUUCGUACUAGAUUGUUCGUAUAACUAUCUACAGAAAAUGAAUGCAUUCCAACCUAUCAAUUUGAGUGUUGUAUAUACAUAUAAAUUAUUUAUAUGGCAAUAAAGUAUUAAGAAAAGUCAAUAGAAAAAUACAAAGCCAGCUUUUCAUAUGAUGUUCAUAUCCGUUCUAACGUCCAAUAAAAUAGGACAAAAUAAUUUAAUCAAUCGUUCCCUACUGCCGACGUUUGACAACGAAGCUGUUCGUCUAUGGUGGUAGGGCUCAGAUUUUUUUUUUUUCUUUCACUAAAUUUACUUUAAAGUGUCAAGUCAAACAAAAACCAUGAGUAUAAAUUUGAUUGAGAAAAUUAAAUUCACCAAUUUUUAUGUUUAUUAAAAGGAAAAUUACAAAAAUAUCAUACAUGUGUUCUAAUGAUAAAAGUUGAGUCAUCAUAUUCAUAUAAUUAACUGUUAUGCAAUGAAGGAAGACGAAAAAAAAUAUUGAGAUAGUUGCAAAUUUAGCAAUUAAAUUUAAAAUAAUUAAGUAUAUAACAACAUUUUAAAAAAAAUUACAAAUAUAACAAAAUUUGUCAAAAUCUAUCAUCGAUAAACUAUGUUAUAAAUAUUGAUCUAUCACCGAUAGAUUAUACGACUUUAUCAGCGACAGUUUUGUUAUAUUUGCAAUUUUUUUAAAAUAUUACUAUAUCCUUAAUUAUUAUUUCUAAAAUGGCCAUCAAUUACAAUUAUCCAAAAAUAUUUGAGAUAUUUACAAAAAAAAUUAUAAUAAUAAAAUUCAUGCCACUACAUUUUUUAAAUUACAAAAGUAACAAAUUUAAAAGCAAACAGUCAUCUCAUAGGCUUUUAAUAGUUAUCUGAUAACCAUACAUCUAAUUACAUAUCAUAUUUGUAAUACGAAAAAAAAGAUGUACGAUAGACUUUUUUUUUUUUUUUGUCAUUUAAUGCAAGUUUUCAAAAAAAAAAAGUUUCUUGAGAGAAUAAAUAUAAAGCCUCCAAAAAUAUACAUGAUAAUAUAAUCAAAGAAAAAAAAUAACAUUGUUUGAUGUUCAAAACUUUAUAGAAAUUGGACUCCCGACUGAUAACAUACAUUUAGGGUUUAGAGCGUAUAAGUUUAUUAAAUUGAGCAUUAAUUUAUAUUUAUUGUCUCUCUUUUCUUUGAAGAGAACUUUGUAUAUUUAUUAAUAUCUUGAAUGUGCUAUUUUAUGGCAUCUUGUUUAACUUAAAAGUCAAAUUUGUUGCUCUCACAUGCUACGCAGUUUAUUUUGUAAGGAUUUAAUAAUUCGAGGUCGUUUUGGAGUGUUUAGAAUAAUCAGCAUUAAAUUUGAAUUACUUAAUUGAGCAAGGGAGUAAUGGAAAAUGAAGUGAAACUCAAGCGAGAAGGUGAGGGGUGGUUGUGACUUAUGAGAUGAGAUGAGCCGUGAGGGGAGAGGGGAAAGUGUGGGAACGGUGGUGGCUGGCAGUGUGGGUCUAUGAAGGCGACGGGAGGUUGGACUGUUGAGGGAUGCCGAUGAAAGGGAGAGAGAGAGAAGCGAUGGUGGACGUGAUGUGAAGAAAGCGAGGAGGGAGAAAGGGAUGGAGCCAGAGCAGUUGGGGUUGAGUGAAGUGGGGGAAAGAAAUUAUCAUUAUAUUUUUUGUUUUGGCACACAUGACAAGAUAAAUAAAUACACGACUUCAAUUUCUUUACGGUUUUUAGAUUUGAAAUUGAUUCGAUCUACGUAAAUUUGAUAACAGAUCGAAUCAGACCGUGUAUUAAAUUUGGUUUGGAUUCGAUUUGUAAAACGGUUCAGUUUUCACAGUUUUGAUGAACAUCCUUAAUAUAUUAAUAAUCACUAUAUUGUAAUGCGAUUCUAUUGUAUUUUGUAUAAAUUCACUUAUUCGAUCCAUAGUGAUCAUUUAUCUGAUAAAUAAUUUCAUACAAGUUUUUUUAACAUUCAAAUAUUGUAGAAUCAGACGAAAGUUAUUUGAUAUGUGUAUAAACUGAUCAAAACACUCUUGGAUAUCAAAGAAAAAAAAAUCAAUCGUUUGAUUUUUAGGUCUAUAGAUUUUGGUGUACAUUUGGGCAAAUGACCACUGGUUUAUUUUUAUUUUUAGCCAUUUAAAUGGAAUAAAUUAAAUUUAAGUAGAAUUUUCAUCAUUGAAUUUUAGUCUCUCUUUAAACUUGAAUCCUUUCUAACACACCAAAAACUAACUUAUUUUCAAUUAAUUUGAUACAACUUUAAGAUUUAACUAAGAUUCGUUUGGAUUGACUUAAGAAAAAAUGUUUUUAAAAAACUAAUUUUUGUUUAAACUUUUUUUCUAAAAAUUGUUUAGGGUUUAGGGUUGAAAAUGUAAUUUAAACACGCCACAAGUCUCUUUGUUAUCAAGUUUAUUAUUAAGUUAUUUUAUUAUCCCACACAGAGAAAUGAACAAUAAUAGUCACGUUAGAUCUAAUAUAACGUCAAAAAGUUAAUUAAUUUGUAACAAUCCAAAAACAAUGAUAAAAAACUAUGAGCUCUUGGCUUCCUUUAAUUGAAAACAAAAGUAAAAUAAAUCUACCACACAAUUGGAGAGUUCAUAAAAUGUUUGAUUUUUUUCCCCCAAUUUUGUACACAAGAGAACAAUAAGAGGCCAUUUGGUAGAGAUUGAGGAAAUUGGAAGGAUGCAUCAUCAUCAUCAUGCAUGUUGUGUUUUGUUUUAUGUUAUGACUUUCCUAUUCUUAUUAAUUAUGUUAUAUAUGUUUAGUUUAAUGCUAUUAUUUUUGUUUUUCUUAUCCCCAUUUUGUAAUAAACAAUUUGCAAUUAUUUUAUAUGUAAAUGUUUCAAGUCCUUUAAUUUUUUAAUAAAUAUUCACUAUUUUAUAUUAUUUUCUAACUAUUUAUUUUUUAAAAUUUUAUAAGGUAUAUAAAUGUUGUCUUACAUCAAUGAUUAAACAUAGUAAAUUAUAGUCUAAUUCAACUCUAUAAUCAAAAUUUCAUUAAACUAGUUAUAACAAAUUUCAUCCGUUUCUAUUCUAUAAACUUCUUUUCAAAAUUUCCGCCUAAUUUUAGCUAGUUAAUAAAUUAGAUCAAUAAAUCACUAGUUUCGUAUUCUGAUUCACUACAUUAAAAUUGAAGGUAUUAAUUCUAGAAUUUGAAUUGAUUUAUUCUGAAGGGAUGAGAGAUGAUACAAUAAUGAUCAUUAUUAUUAUUGUUUUUAUCUGGCAAUUGAUAAAUUUAUUGGUCCAAUCUUUAAUAUACACAACGAUGAGUAGGCAGCUGUAAUACUCAUGUUGGUUUUUUUGUCCUUUUCAAGAUUCAUAUAUUAAUGAAUAAUGAGAUACAUAUCUGCAUCAUCAAUCAAUGAGCCAAAACAAAUAUAUAUAUAUAUAUAUAUAUAUUUAUAAGCUCAAAUUAAUUACUUCUUUCUUUUGCAGCCUAUAAGAAUAUUAGAAUCCUUACAUUUUUAUUUCUCCAAAAACUGAGCAACUUACCAUUUCAAAGAAGAUCAAGAAAAUUCAAAGAUGGGAUCUGUCUCACAAACUGAAAAACCACAUGCUGUAUGUAUCCCAUAUCCAGCCCAAGGCCAUAUCACCCCUAUGCUAAUGCUUGCUAAGCUUCUCCAUCACAAAGGUUUCUACAUAACUUUCGUCAACACCGACUACAAUCAUCGUCGUCUUCUCAAAUCGAGAGGCCCCAACUCGCUCGAUGGCUUGCAAGAUUUUACAUUCCGAACCAUUCCCGACGGCCUUCCUUACUCGGACGCCAACUGUACUCAAGAUAUUCCAGCACUCUGUGAAUCCACCUCCAAGAAUUGCUUAGCCCCGUUUUGUGAUUUUAUUUCACAACUUAACUCAAUGGCAGCUUCUCCUUCUAGUAAUAUGCCACCAGUUAGCUGUAUUGUUAGUGAUGCUGUUAUGUCUUUCUCUAUGUUGGCUGCCAAUGAGUUUAAAAUCCCUUAUGCUUUUCUUUGGACUGCUAGUGCUUGUGGCUACCUUGGUUACUUCCAAUAUGAGCAUCUCAUUAAACAAGGCUUGAUUCCUCUUAAAGGUAUGGUUUCAUUUGAAUCUGUUUUCUUUUCUUUCUUUUUGUUUCUGUCAAUCUUUGUUAAACAUGCAUUUUUGUGUGCUAGAAUUUUACUUUAAAAAUUAUUUUUAAUUCUGACAUUUUAAAAAAUAUAACAAACCACAAAAAUAUUUUCAUGGUAUAAAACAAUUUUGAAAACGGAAAAAGCUCACUGACCCACAAUAAAAAAUAUAAAGAAUGCCCUAAUCAACAGUACACGAUUAAUCUACUACACGGACGUGCCUAAUUUUUCUACUAAACGAUCAAGAUACAUGUUCGUAUAGUUAUUUUUAACGAGUAGAAAAAUGCUUCUUGUACUUAUAGAAUAUAUCAAUGAAGUGGAAAUGAUGAGGAUGAUAAGAGGGUGUUCAUCUAAUGGAAAUGUGCUGGUGCACCUAUUGACCUAUAAUAUUUAAAAAGAAAAACGAUGAGAAAAAUAUUUCAAAUCUAAACGACAGUGUUAAAACACAAUGAACGAUCGUGUUGACUAUUGAUAAGUGAUCGUUUAGGUCAUAUUCACACGAUUGUGUAAUUUUUUUUAAAAGAUAAGGAAAUGACUUCAAAUCUAAACAACGGUGUUGACUAGAUAAAUGAUCUUAAUAUUAUGAAAAAAGAGUUGGAAGAAAGAAAGAAAGGGAAGAUGAAGAAAGAUAGAAAAAGAAGUUAAACGUUUAACAAAAUUUUUUGGAAGAUGAGCCAAAAUUUUUUGGAAGAGAAAAUGGAUAAAGUACAAAAUAGAAAAGAAAAAGAACUGAUGAAUCGUUCCCAAUAUAUCAAGGGCAAAACUAGAAUUUAUGGAAAAAAUUUACGAGCUUCAUAGGACAUUUUGUUUUUGUUACACGGAUGAUUGUAAAUAUUUUGGUGUUUUCUUACCUUUAUGAAAAAUUAACCUUUUUAAUCUUAGAGGGACACUUUUAAAUAUAUAAAAUAGUUAAUCAACUAAAAUAUUUACAAAAUAUAAUAAAAAAUUUAGAUUUUAUUUUGUCAAUGAUAUAUUGUUUACGGAUAUUGAUUUAUCAUUAACAGACAUGAAUAAGUUUUUAUUAGUUUCUAUUUUUUUUUAUACACUAAAUCUCAGAACUUUAAAAACGUUUCUAAUAAUUAAAUCUUCUAUUUUUAAUGUUUGUAUGUUUAACUCUUUGAAAUUUUAAUGUUUCAUUUCUAUUAAGUCUUUCAUCCAUUCAACAUUUUAAAAAUUUUAUGAACCUAUUAGACUAAAAAUUACAUGUUCAAUACUAAAAAUUACAUGUUCAAUUAUGUUCGUUGGACCCUAAAUAAACUUUUAUUUCUCUCUCUCUCUUUUUUUUUUUUUUUAAUUAUAGAAGAUGUCAAAUACCUAAGGAUGACAUAUAUAUUGACAGAUUUAUUAGGAUGAGAAGUUGAAUAUUUUGAAACAAAUCAUAUACUUAAUUGUCUUUUCAAGAGAAAGUUUUCUUGGGUAGAAAAACAUGCCAAACAAUUUAGUGUGAUAGACUUUUUAACCUCCAAAGAUAGACUUCUCUUAGUCUCUAUCAUUGAUAGACACUUAUACACUUCUAUAAACUUUUAUCGAUGAUAAUUAGCGUCUAUCAGUUUCUAGUACUUGUAGAUGACAUUGAUAUAUAAAUUUCUAUAUGUGUUCAUUACUUAUACCGUUGAUAGAUAUGCUAAUUAAUAGGCUUCCAACAACGUUCAUUUAAAUGAUAAAAAAAUUAAAAAAUUAUUUGCAAUAACUUGUAAAUAGUUUAAUCUAUCAACAAAUUAAGAAAAAAAAAGAACUUGGACACAUCCAAUAGAAUACACAACCACGUGGACCAAGCCAUCAUUUUAACCAAAUUUUUUAUUUUGGAGUUUGUGUAUUUAAGUUUUGAUCUCUUUUUUACUGGUCAACAGAUAUGAAUCAGGUAACGGAUGGAUAUUUAGAAACUACAGUCGGAUGGACUCAAGGAAUGAAAAAUAUACGUUUGAGAGACCUUCCUACUUUUCUUAGAACAACAAGUCUAGAUGAUAUUAUGAUCAAUUUUAUCAUUCAAGAAAUGAAAAGAUCUCGAGAAGCAUCUACAAUUAUAUUAAACACAUUUGAUGCAAUCGAAGGAGAUGUCAAAGAUUCUCUUUCUUCUAUCCUUCAGUCUAUUUACACUAUUGGUCCACUUCACAUGCUUGGCAACCAAAUAGAUGAUGAAAAACUAACAGCAAUUGGCUCAAACCUAUGGGCUGAGGAAUCAGAAUGCAUUGAGUGGCUUAACUCUAAGCAGCCCAACUCAGUUGUUUAUGUUAAUUUUGGUAGCAUUACAGUGAUGACACCACAACAAAUGGUUGAGUUUGCAUGGGGAUUAGCUGAUAGUGGGAAGUCAUUUUUGUGGAUUACAAGGCCUGAUUUAAUUGUGGGAGAUUCAGCCAUUAUGCCUCAAGAAUUUGUUACACAAACUAAAGAUAGAAGCUUGAUAGCAAGUUGGUGUAGUCAAGAACAAGUGUUGAACCAUCCAUCAAUAGGAGGAUUUCUAACACAUAGUGGAUGGAAUUCAACUCUUGAGAGUAUAUGUGCUGGUGUUCCAAUGAUUUCAUGGCCUUUCUUUGCUGAACAACAAACAAAUUGUCGUUAUUGUUGCACUGAGUGGGGGAUUGGAAUGGAGAUUGACAACAAUGUAAAAAGAAAUGAAGUGGAGGAGUUAGUGAGAGAGUUGAUGGAUGGAGAAAAAGGUAAGAAAAUGAAAGAGAAUGUAAUGUAUUUGAGGAGUAAAGCUGAAGAAGCAUAUAAACCAGGUGGUUCUGCUUACAAGCAAUUGGAUAAGCUGAUCAAUGAAGUACUUUUGUCAAACAUAAAGAAGGUUUAAGCUUUGUAUCCAAAGUUCUCUGCUGUUACACCUGGUUGAUCUGCUUUUCUUCUUUAGGAACCUAUGUAUUAUUAUAUAUUGAAUAUUAUUGCAUGGUUUUUCUUCAAUAAAUUCUCCUAUUUGAUUUUUCUGAAGACUAGCUCAUUAAUUAAGUAGGAAAAUGUAUAUAAAGAUUGUGGUAUAUGUUAGAUUGGAUCUGUUUCAGAUAAGCAUGUUGUAAAACUCUCUAAUCCUAACGACGUCCGUGAUAUGUAGUUUGAAUUAUUCUUUUUAAAAAUAAAUUGCUCUGUUUUCUUUUGUUCACCGAUAUAACUAACACAUGGUUAGUUAAGCAAGCAAACAAUCUUUAUAUAUUGAUUCUACAUCGUAUACAUUUUUCUUCUUUUAUCUUAAUUAAUGGUGAAUUUGUAACCGUGUCUUUCCAUUUUAUCUAUAUACGUGUGCAAGACAUCUCUUGACAUCCUCUUAUUAUUGUUGGUAUGAAUUUGAAAAUUUGUAUGUCGUGGACACAUAAAUUCAUAUAGUAGUAAAAUGUCCUCAUUAAAAAAAAAACUAUUAACAACUUAUCCUAAAAUAAAUUUGAAAUUUUUUAUCCAAACACACCAUUUAACCACUAUAAACCAUUACUAUUAUUAGGAAAACUAUGAAAAACAAUAAAUUUGACAAAAUAUUUACAAGCUAUAACACAAUUUCAUAUCUGUCAAUACCAAACAGUGAUAUCCUUCUAUCUAUGGCAUUGAAGCUAUUACUAAUUAUUUUUUAUAGAAUCCAUAAAUUUUAUUAUAUAUUAUAAAUAUUUUAAUUUAUUUUGCUACUUUAAAAACUAAUUUGAAUAGUUUUAUGUCGCAAUUGAUCGUUUGUCCAUCCAUUUAUUAUGACAACCACAAGUAACAUCUGUAGUGGUCACCAUGGUUUUUUUGUUUUUUUCCCAAGAUUCAUAUAUUAAUAAAUGAUUGAGAUACAUACAUUAAUCAACCAACGAUCCAAAAGCAAAAAGAUAUUUAUAAGUUCAAAUUAUCUUCUUGCUUCUGCAGCUUGUAAGAAUAUUAGAAUUCUUACAUUUUUGUUUCUCAGAAAACUGAGCAAUUCCCCAUUUCAAGAAGAUCAAGAAAUUCAAUGAUGGAAUCUGUCUCACAGACUGAAAAACCACAUGCUGUAUGUAUCCCAUAUCCAGUCCAAGGCCAUAUCACCCCUAUGCUAAUGCUUGCUAAGCUUCUCCAUCACAGAGGUUUCUACAUAACUUUUGUCAAUACCGACUACAAUCAUCGUCGUCUUCUCCAAUCGAGAGGCCCCAACUCGCUCGAUGGCUUGCAAGAUUUUAAGUUCCGAACCAUUCCCGACGGCCUUCCUUACUCGGACGCCAACUGUACUCAAGAUAUUCCAGCACUCUGUGAAUCCACCUCCAAGAAUUGCUUAGCCCCUUUUUGUGAUCUUAUUUCACAACUUAACUCAAUGGCAGCUUCUCCUUCUAGUAAUAUGCCACCAGUUAGCUGCAUUGUUAGUGAUGCUAUUAUGUCUUUCUCUAUGUUGGCUGCCAAUGAGUUUAAAAUCCCUUAUGCUUUUCUUUGGACUGCUAGUGCUUGUGGCUAUCUUGGUUACUUCCAAUAUGAGCAUCUCAUUAACCAGGGCUUGAUUCCUCUUAAAGGUAUGGUUUCAUUUUAAUGUGUUUUCUUUUCUUUUUUGUCAAUCUUUGUUCGAAAUGGAUUUUUGUGUGGUAGAAUUUUAUUUUAAAAAUUAUGUUUAACUUUUUUAUGAACAUUUUCAGCAUAAUCAACUAAAAUAUUUAUAGAAUAUAUCAAAAUUUUACAUGUUAGAUUUAAAGAUAGAGAUUUAUUUUAGUAUAUUGAUAGACAUAAAUAGACUUAUAUUAGUAUGAAUUGAUAUACUAAAUUUUUUCAAUUUUAUUUCUAAUAAAUUUAUAAAUUAAAAAAGUUUCUAAUAAUUAUAUCCUUAAUGUUUUUUAAUUUUUAUUUUCAUCUAACUCUUGUUAUCUUUUUAUCAAGUCUUUCAUCCAUUUCAACGUUUUAAAGAUAGUAGGAACCUAUUAGACUUAAAAGUUACAAGUUUAAUUAUGUUCAUUAGACCCAAAAUAAAUUUUCAUUCCUAUUUUUUAAAAAAAAAUUAUAGAACAUGUCAAAAACCUAAGAACUACUUAUAUAUUUUUUGAGAGGAUAUGAAUUUGAAAAUUUAGAAACAAAUGAGAUGCUUAUCUUUUCAAGAGAAAUUUUAAUAGUUAGAUAAGAUGCCAAACAAUUGAGAGUGAUAGACUUUUAUCACCUCUAAAGUCUUAGUUCUGUCAGUUAGUGUUAGUGAUAGGUUUCUCAUUAUCCAUUUCUAUUAUUGAUAGACAUCGAUAAACUUCUAUUAGUUUUUAAUAUUGAUAUAUGACAUCGAUAGAUUUCUACAUGUGUUUAACCUGUAUUUUCUAAAUUUCUUAUCAACAUAUAUUUGAAAGAUAAGAAAUUUAGAGUUUUUUGCGAAUUUUUUUUUAAAUAAUGUAAAAUUUGAAACAUAUAUCAAAAAUAGGGUGGAUGCAAAACUAUUUUUAAAAAUAGGUGAUUUGGGGUGAAGUCUCGUACACGACUUUCAUGCAGUGGACCUCACAUAUUCUAUUUUUUUUCUUAUUUUUAUAUUUAUACUACACUGGGCCCACAUUUUUUUUAUUUUCUCAUUAUUUAUAUACGUGGGACCCACACACUUCACUUUUUCUCAUUAUUUAUAUAUACAUACUCACAUAUAAUAUAAUAUAUAUAUUAAACAUUCAAAUUCUAAAGAUAUCUUUCUUUAUUAAAUUAAUUAAUUUUUUAUUUUUUCUUUAUAUAUAUUUAAAUAUCACAAUCUUCAAUCUUCGUUUUUUCUUAUUAAAUUCAUUUUUCUACUUUAAUUUAAAUUUUUCUUAAUCAAAAUUACACAUAUCUUCUUUUCCAAAUUUUAAUUUUUUUAAACAAACUCAUAUAUUAACAAAUAUGUUAUUAAACAAAUAAAAAUAGAAAUAAUAGUAAUAAUUAUAUAUAUAUAUAUAUAUAUUUAAUAUCUCAAUCUUCAAUUUUUCUUAUUAAUUCAUCUUUUCUAAUUUAAUUUAAUUAUUUCUUAACCAAAAUUAUAUAUAUCUUUUUCUAAUUUUCUGUUUUAAAAAACACAUAUAUUAACCAAAUAUGUUAUUAAAAAAUACAUUAAACAAAUAAAAAUAAUAAUAGUAAUUGAAAGAAGUUGAAACGUACUCUAAAAAUAAUAAUAACAAUAAAUUUGUAAUUGAAAAUUAUCCGUUAAGUUUUUAAAUUUAAUUUGUAAUCGAACCAAUUCUUGUUUUUUUCCUUUUGCCAUAAACAUGAAUUUCUUUUUAUUCAAUUAUCAAUGUGCGUGGCUUCAAGUGUUAUUAUUAUUAUUUUUUUUAGUAAUUUUAACUUAUCUCAAUUAUUAUUAUUACUCUUUUAAUUUGUUUAAUAUAUUUUUAAUAACAUGUUUUGUUAAUAUAUGAGAUUUUUUAACAAAAUUGAAAGUUGGAAAAAAAAUAUAUGUAUAAUUUUGAUUAAGAAAGAAUUAAAUUAAAUUAGAAAAAUGAAUUUAAUAAGAAAAAUUGAAGAUCGAAGAUUGUGAUAUUUAAAUAUAUAUAAAGAAAAAAAUAAAUUAAUUUAAUAAAAAAAGAUAUUUUUAGAAUUUGAAUGUAUAACAUAUAUAUAUUAAAUUAUAUGUGAGUAUGUAUAUAUAAAUAAUGAGAAAAAGUGAAGUGUGUGGGACCUACGUAUAUAAAUAAUGAGAAAAUAAAAAAAUGUGGGGUCCAGUGUUGUAUAAAUAUAAAAAUAAGGAAAAAAUAAAAUAUGUGGGAUCCACUGCAUAAAAGUCGUGGUACACGACUUCACCCCAAAUCACCUAUUUUUAAAAAUAGUUUUGCAUCCACCCUAUUUUUGAUAUAUGUUGCAAAUAUUACAUUAUUUUUAGAAAAAAUCCGUUUUUUGCAAUAACCAGUAAAUCGUUUUAACCUAUCUUCCAAUUAAAAAAAGAACUUGGACAUCCAUUAGAAUACACAACCAGGUGGACCAAACUCAUAAUUUAAACCAAAUUCUUUAUUUUGGUAUUUGUGUAUUUAGUUUUGAUAUCUUUACUGGUUAACAGAUAUAAGUCAGGUAACAUAUGAAUAUUUAGAAACUACAAUCGAAUAGAUUCAAGGAAUGAAAAAUAUAAGUUUGAGAGAUCUUCCUACUUUUCUUAGAACAACAGUUCGAGAUGAUAUCAUGCUCACUUUUAUCAUUCAAGCAAUGGAAAGAUCUAGAGAAGCACCUGUAGAUAACAUUGCUAUAUAAAUUUCUAUAUAUGUUCAUUACUUAUAUCGUUGAUAGAUAUGCUAAUAGGCUUCCAUCAACGUUCAUUUAAAUGAUAAAAAAUAAGAAAUUUAUUUGAAAUAACUUGUAAAUAGUUUAAUCUAUCUUCAAAUUAAAAAAGAAAAAAAAAAAACUUGGACAUCCAUCAGAAUAAAGAACCAUGUGGACCAAACUCAUCAUUUUAACCAAAUUCUUUAUUUUGAAGUUUGUGUAUUUAAAUUUUAAACUCUUUACUGGUUAACAGAUAUGAGUCAGCUAACAGAUGGAUAUUUAGAAACUACAAUCGGAUGGACUCAAGGAAUGAAAAAUAUACGUUUGAGAGACCUUCCUACUUUUCUUAGAACAACAAAUCUAGAUGAUAUUAUGAUCAAUUUUAUCCUUCAAGAAAUGAAAAGAUCUCGAGAAGCAUCUACAAUUAUAUUAAACACAUUUGAUGCAAUCGAAGGAGAUGUCAAAGAUUCUCUUUCAUCUAUCCUUCAGUCUAUUUACACUAUUGGUCCACUUCACAUGCUUGGCAACAAAAUAGAUGAUGAAAAACUAACAGCAAUUGGCUCAAACCUAUGGGCUGAGGAAUCAAAAUGCAUUGAGUGGCUUAACUCUAAGCAGCCCGACUCAGUUGUUUAUGUUAAUUUUGGUAGCAUCACAGUGAUGACACCACAACAAAUGGUUGAGUUUGCAUGGGGAUUAGCUGAUAGUGGGAAGCCAUUUUUGUGGAUUACAAGGCCUGAUUUAAUUGUGGGAGAUUCAGCCAUUAUGCCUCAAGAAUUUGUUACACAGACUAAAGAUAGAAGCUUGAUAUCAAGUUGGUGUAGUCAAGAACAAGUGUUGAGCCAUCCUUCAAUAGGAGGAUUUCUAACACAUAGUGGAUGGAAUUCAACUCUUGAGAGUAUAUGUGCUGGUGUUCCAAUGAUUUCAUGGCCUUUCUUUGCUGAACAACAAACAAAUUGUCGUUAUUGUUGCACUGAGUGGGGGAUUGGAAUGGAGAUUGACAACAAUGUAAAAAGAAAUGAAGUGGAGGAGUUAGUGAGAGAGUUGAUGGAUGGAGAAAAAGGUAAGAAAAUGAAAGAGAAUGUAAUGUAUUUGAAGAGUAAAGCUGAAGAAGCAUAUAAACCAGGUGGUUCUGCUUACAAGCAAUUGGAUAAGCUGAUCAAUGAAGUACUUUUGUCAAACAUAAAGAAGGUUUAAACUUUGGAUACAAAGUUCUCUGCUUUUACACCUAGUUGAUCUGAUUUUCUUCUUUAGGUCUAUGUAUUAUUAUAUUGAAUAUUAUUGCAUGGUUUUCAUUUUUAAAUAAAUUCUCCAAUUUGGUAUUUCAAUUUUCUUGGGUAGAAAACAUAAUUCAGAGUUGUAGUCUUCUUAAUCUACGAGGAUAAACUUGUAUUAGUUUCUUUAACUGAAUAGUUAUUCUUUAUUAGUUUCUAUCACGAUUAGACAUUGAAAAUUUUAUCAGCCUUUAUCAUUGAUAAGCUUCUAGCAUUGAUAGAUGACAUUGAUAGGUUUUUGUAUUUAUUCAUUAGUUAUAGUGUUGAUAUAGAUGAUGCUGAUAGACUUCCAUCAACUUCUAUCUCAAUAAUAAAGAAAUUUAGAAACUUUUCUAAUAACUUGUAAAUAGUUUAACCAAUCUUUCAAUUAAAAAAAAAAAAAACUUGAACAUCUAUUAAAAUACACAACCACCUGGACAAAACUCAUCAUUUAAAAAAAAAAAUCAUUAUUUUGGAAUCUGUGUAUUUAGUUUUGAAAUCUUUACAGGUUAAUAGAUAUGAGUCAGGUAACAGAUGGAUAUUUAAAAACUACAGUCGGAUGGACUCAAGGAAUGAAAAAUAUAUGUUUGAAAGACCUUCCUACUUUACUUGGAACAGUAGUUGAAGAUGACAUUAUGAUCAAUUUUAUCAUUCAAGCAAUGGAAAGAUCUCCAUAAGCAUCUGCAAUUAUAUUAAACACAUUUAAUAUAAUGGAAGGAGAUGUCAAAGAUUCUCUUUCUUUAUUUACACCAUCGGUCCACUUCACAUGCUUUCCAACCAAAUAGAUGAUGAGAAUCUAACAGCAAUUGGCUCAAACCUAUUGGCUGAGGAAUCAGAAUCCAUUGAGUGGCUUAACUCUAAGCAACCCAACUCAGUUGUUUAUGUUAAUUUUGGUAGCAUCACAGUGAUGACACCACAACAAUUGAUUGAGUUUGCAUGGGGAUUCGCUGAUAGUGGGAAGCCACUUUUGUGGAUUACAAGGCCUGAUUUAAUUGUGGGAGAUUCAGCCAUUAUGCCUCAAGAAUUUGUCACACAAACUAAAGAUAGAAGCAUGAUAGCAAGUUGGUGUAGUCAAGAACAAGUGUUGAACCAUCCUUCAAUAGGAGGAUUUGUAACACAUAGUGGAUGGAAUUCAACUCUUGAGAGAGUAUAUGUGCUGGUGUUCCAAUGAUAUGUUGGCCUUUCUUUGGUGAACAACAAACAAAUUGUCGUUAUUGUUGCACUGAGUGGGGGAUUGGAAUGGAGAUUGAUAACAAUGUAAUAAGAAGUGAAGUGGAGGAGUUAGUGGGAGAGUUGAUGGAUGGAGAAAAAGGUAAUUGAAAAUGAAAGAGAAUGUAAUGUAUUUGAAGAGUAAAGCUGAAGAAGCAUAUAAACCAGGUGGUUCUGCUUGCAAGCAAUUGGAUAAGCUGAUCAAUGAAGUACUUUUGUCAAACAUAAAGAAGGUUUAAGCUUUGUAUCCAAAGUUCUCUGCUGUUACACCUGGUUGAUCUGCUUUUCUUCUUUAGGAACCCUAUGUAUUAUUAUAUAUUGAAUAUUAUUGCAUUGUUUUUCUUCAAUAAAUUCUCCUAUUUGAUUUUUUUGAAGAGGAGCUCAUUAAUUAAGUAGGAAAAUGUAUAUAAAGAUUGUGGUAUAUGUUAGAUUGGAUCUCUUUCAGAAAAGCAUGUUGUAAAACUCUCUAAUCCUAACGACGUUGGUGAUAUGUAGUUUGAAUUAUUCUUUUUAAAAAUAAAUUGCACUUUUUUGUUUGUUUCACGAAUAUAACUAACACAUGGUUAGUUAAGCAAGCAAACAAUCUCUAUAUAUUUGAUUCUACAUUGUAUACAUAUAUUUUUCUUCUUUUAUCUUAAUUAAUGGUGAAUUUGUAACCGUGUCUUUCCAUUUUAUCUAUAUAUAUGUGCAAGAGAUCUCUUAACAUCCUCCUAUUGUUGUUGGUAUGAAUUUGAAAAUUCGUAAAAUUCAAAUAAUAGUAAAAGGUCCUCAUUAAACAUUAACAACUUAUCUUAAAAUGAAUUUGAAAUUUUUUAUCCAAACAAACCAUUUAAUUUGAAGUGCCACAAGCACUAUAAAUCAUUAUUAUUAUUAGAAAAUUUAUGAAAAAUAGCAAAUUUGACAGAAUAUUUACAAGUUAUAACACAAUUUCAUAUAUGUCAAUAUAUACCAAACAGUGAUAUCCUUCUAUCUAUGGCAUUGAAACUUACUGACUAUCUUUUGUAGAAUCUACAAAUUUUGAUACAUAUGAUAAAUAUUUUAAUUUAUUUUGCUAUUUUAAAAACUAUUUCGAAUAGUUUUAUUUGACAAUGGAUCGUUUGUCCAUCCAUUUAUUAUGACAACCAUAAGUAACAUCUGUAGUGGUCACGAUGGUUUUUUUGUUUUCUGUUCUUUUCGCGAGAUUCAUAUAUUAAUAAAUAAUUGAGAUACAUACAUUAAUCAAUCAACCAUCCAAAACCAAAAAGAUAUUUAUAAGUUCAAAUUAUCUUCUUGCUUCACCAGCUUAUAAGAAUAUUAGAAUUCUUACAUUUUUGUUUCUCAGAAAACUGAGCAAUUCCCCAUUUCAAGAAGAUCAAGAAAUUCAAUGAUGGAAUCUGUCUCACAGACUGAAAAACCACAUGCUGUAUGUAUCCCAUAUCCAGUCCAAGGCCAUAUCACCCCUAUGCUAAUGCUUGCUAAGCUUCUCCAUCACAGAGGUUUCUACAUAACUUUUGUCAAUACCGACUACAAUCAUCGUCGUCUUCUCCAAUCGAGAGGCCCCAACUCGCUCGAUGGCUUGCAAGAUUUUAAGUUCCGAACCAUUCCCGACGGCCUUCCUUACUCGGACGCCAACUGUACUCAAGAUAUUCCAGCACUCUGUGAAUCCACCUCCAAGAAUUGCUUAGCCCCUUUUUGUGAUCUUAUUUCACAACUUAACUCAAUGGCAGCUUCUCCUUCCAGUAAUAUGCCACCAGUUAGCUGCAUUGUUAGUGAUGCUGUUAUGUCUUUCUCUAUGUUGGCUGCCAAUGAGUUUAAAAUCCCUCAUGCUUUUCUUUGGACUGCUAGUGCUUGUGGCUAUCUUGGUUACUUCCAAUAUGAGCAUCUCAUUAAACAAGGCUUGAUUCCUCUUAAAGGUAUGGUUUCAUUUUAAUCUGUUUUCUUUUCUUUUUUAUGUCAAUCUUUGUUCAAAAUGGAUUUUUGUGUGGUAGAAUUUUAUUUUAAAAAUUAUGUUUUAACUUUUUUAUGGACAUUUUAGCAUAAUCAACUAAAAUAUUUAUAAAAUAUAUCAAAAUUUUACAGAUAUUGAUAGACAUAAAUAGACUUAUAUUAGUAUUAAUUGAUACUAAAUUUUUUCAAUUUUAUUUCUAAUAAAUCUAUAAAUUUAAAAAGUUUCUAAUAAUUAUAUACUUAAUUUUUUUUUCAUCUAACUCUUUCAACUUUUAAUGUUAUCUUUUUAUCAAGUCUUUCAUCCAUUUCAACAUUUUAAAAGUUACAAGUUUAAUUAUGUUCAUUAGACCCAAAACAAAUUUUCAUUCCAAAUUUUUUUAAAAAAAUUUAUAGAACAUGUCAAAAACCUAAGAAUGACAUAUAUAUUUUGAGAGGAUAUGAAUUUGAAAAUUUAGAAACAAAUGAGAUGCUUAUCGUUUCAAGAGAAAUUUUCAUGGUUAGAUAAGAUGCCAAACAAUUGAGAGUGAUAGACUUUUACCACCUCUAAAGUCUUAGUUCUGUCAGUUAGUGUUAGUGAUAGGCUUCUCAUUAUCCAUUUCUAUUAUUGAUAGACACCGAUAAACUUGUAUUAGUUUUUAAUAUUGAUACAUGACAUUGAUACAUAGAUUUCUAGAUGUGUUUAACCUAUAUUUUCUAAAUUUCUUAUCAACAUAUAUUCGAAAGAUAAGAAAUUUAAAGUUUUUCGCAAUAACCAGUACAUCGUUUAACCUAUCUUCCGAUUAAAAAAAGAACUUGGACAUCGAUUAGAAUACACAACCAGGUGGACCAAACUCAUAAUUUAAACCAAAUUCUUUAUUUUGGUAUUUGUGUAUUUAGUUUUGAUCUCUUUACUGGUUAACAGAUAUAAGUCAGAUAACAGAUGAAUAUUUAGAAACUACAAUCGAAUGAACUCAAGAAAUGAAAAAUAUAAGUUUGAGAGAUCUUCCUACUUUUCUUAGAACAACAGUUCGACAUGAUAUCAUGCUCACUUUUAUCAUUCAAGCAAUGGAAAGAUCUAAAGAAGCACCUGUAGAUGACAUUGAUAUACAAAAUUUUAUAUAUGUUCAUUACUUAUAUCGUUGAUAGAUAUGCUAAUAGGCUUCCAUUAACAUUCAUAUAAAUGAUAAAAAUAAGAAAUUUAUUUGCAAUAACUUGUAAAUAGUUUAAUACACCCAUUAGAAUAUACAACCAUGUGGACCAAACUCAUCAUUUUAACCAAAUUCUUUAUUUUGAAGUUUGUGUAUUUAAGUUUUGAACUCUUUACUGGUUAACAGAUAUGGAUCAGGUAACAAAUGGAUAUUUAGAAACUACAAUCGAAUGGACUCAAGGUAUGAAGAAUAUACGUUUGAGAGACCUUCCUACUUUUCUUAGAACAACAAAUCUAGAUGAUAUUAUGUUGAAUUUUCUCCUUCAAGAAAUGAAAAGAUCUCGAGAAGCAUCUACAAUUAUAUUAAGCACAUUUGAUGCAAUCGAAGGAGAUGUCAAAGAUUCUCUUUCAUCUAUCCUUCAGUCUAUUUACACUAUUGGUCCACUUCACAUGCUUGGCAACAAAAUAGAUGAUGAAAAACUAACAGCAAUUGGCUCAAACCUAUGGGUUGAGGAAUCAGAAUGCAUCGAGUGGCUUAACUCUAAGCAGCCCAACUCAGUUGUUUAUCUUAAUUUUGGUAGCAUCACAGUGAUGACACCACAACAAAUGGUUGAGUUUGCAUGGGGAUUAGCUGAUAGUGGGAAGCCAUUUUUGUGGAUUACAAGGCCUGAUUUAAUUGUGGGAAAUUCAGCCAUUAUGCCUCAAGAAUUUGUUACACAAACUAAAGAUAGAAGCUUGAUAGCAAGUUGGUGUAGUCAAGAACAAGUGUUGAACCAUCCUUCAAUAGGAGGAUUUCUAACACAUAGUGGAUGGAAUUCAACUCUUGAGAGUAUAUGUGCUGGUGUUCCAAUGAUUUCAUGGCCUUCCUUUGCUGAACAACAAACAAAUUGUCGUUAUUGUUGCACUGAGUGGGAGAUUGGAAUGGAGAUUGACAACAAUGUAAAAAGAAAUGAGGUGGAGAAGUUAGUGAGAGAGUUGAUGGAUGGAGAAAAAGGUAAGAAAAUGAAGGAGAACGCAAUGUUUUUGAAGAGUAAAGCUGAAGAAGCAUAUAAACCAGGUGGUUCUGCUUACAAGCAAUUGGAUAAGCUGAUCAAUGAAGUACUUUUGUCAAACAUAAAGAAGGUUUAAACUUUGUAUCCAAAGUUAUCUGGUCCUUACACCUAUUAGAUCUGCUUUUCUUCUUUAAUAACCUAUGUAUUAUUAUAUUGAAUAAUGUUGCAUGGUUUUUUUUUCAAUAAAUUCUCCUAUUUAAUAUUUUGAAGAGUAUCCCAUUUAAUUAAGUAGGAAAAUGUACUGUAUAAAGAUUAUGGUAUAUGUUAGAAUGGUAAUCUGCGUAUUUGUAGUAGCAGAGAGAAGCGUAUUGUAUAACUCUCUAAUUCUAAAGGUAUUGUUAUUGAACCAUCUACACCUUAUAUGCAUUUUUCUACUUUUGUCUUGAUUAUUUGUGGAUUCGUAGCAGUGUCUUUCCAUUUUAUAUAAAUAUAUGUGCAUGAGAUCCCUCAACAUUCUCGUUAUUAUGUUAUUAUGUUAUGAUUGUUGUUGGCAUAAAUUUGAAAAUGAGUAGCGUGACACAAAUCCAAAUAGUAGUAAAAGGUUCUCAUGAAAAAAGAACUAUUAACUACUUGACCUAGAAAGAUGUUUGGGGAUAAUUUUAUUAUUAGAGUAGAAAGAAAGAGUAGAAAGAAAGUGGAAUCCGAGAUUUAUGUUGAGAGUAAGUAUUAAAGAUUAUUGCCAUGUUUGAUCAGCAAGUAUUAAAGAAUUAAGUGAAAUUCAAUUAGUACUACUAGGUUGUUGUUCGAUCGAUAGUCGUAUUUUGUUAAAGAUAACUGUUAUAGUCUCCUUGCAAUCAAUGUAAAAUGAAUAGUUGUCUUUAGAACCAUGCUUAUCAAAAGUGUGUCUUGACGACUUGUUGAUCUUGAGGUUUUUAUGAGUUUAUGGUUAUUUCAACAUAUAGACUUUGGUUAUUUAAUAUCGUAUUACUUUUGAAAAUUGUUGUGUGAUCUAUGCUUGUUAGUUUGUUUGCAAUAAUUAUUUGUAUUCAACUUAGUUGUAAUCAAUUUUGCAGUCUUUUUAUUACAAAUUUUGACCAAAGAAAAAUACAUUUGACAUUCACGUGACAACAUCAAUAAGUUUGUAAUUUAAGAAAGAGGUGAGAAUUGCAAAAAAAAAGAGAAAAUAUUAGAGUAGAGCGUCUAAUUUCUUUAGUAUUAUUUAGUAAGAGACCUAAAUAAUAUUGAAGAAGUUAACCUCUUUUAAAUACCUCAUAAGAAAGCAUUUCUCGCGUGUUAUUACAUAUAUAUUUUACAAUAUACAUCUAAUUGUUGUCUUACGUUAUAUUAAACAUGGUCUAUUAUAGUCUAAUUCAACUAUAACAUCAAAGUUUCAUUAACUAAUUAUAAUAAAUUUCAUUCAUUUCUAUCUCCAUAAAUUUUCAUAAAAUCGAAUUCAUGAGGAAUGUAAUUUGAUAUUUUGAACCUUGCAACCCACCUAAUUUUAGCUAGUUAUAUAUAUAUAUAUAUAUAUUAGUCCAAUCAAUAAAUUACUAGUACUAGUUUCUUAUUCUAAUUCACUCAAUUAAAAUUAGAAUUGGUGAAAAGUAUUAAUUUGUAGAAUUUGAAUUGAUAUUUAAUCUGAAGGGGGCGGAUAUGGUACAAAUGAUUAAUUGUUAUACUGUUGUUUUUAUUUGGCAAUGCAUUAUUGGUUCAAUCCUUUAAUAUAACAUAACGAUAAGUAGGCACUCACGGUGGUCUUUUGUUCUAUUCCCAAGAUUCAUAUAUUAAUAAAUAAUUAAGAGACAUAUGAUCUGCAUAAUCAAUCAAUAAUCCAAAAGCAAAAAAGAUAUUUAUAAGUUCAAACUACUUCUUGCUUUUGUAGCCUGUAAGAAUAUUAGAAUUAUUUCUCCAAAAACUGAGCAAUUCCCCAUUUCAAGAAGAAAAGAAAAGAAGAUCAAGAAAUUCAAAGAUGGGAUCUGUCUCACACACUGAAAAACCACAUGCUGUAUGUAUCCCAUAUCCAGCCCAAGGCCAUAUCACCCCUAUGCUAAUGCUUGCUAAGCUUCUCCAUCACAAAGGUUUCUACAUAACUUUCGUCAACACCGACUACAAUAAUCGUCGUCUUCUCCAAUCCAGAGGCCCCAACUCGCUCGAUGGCUUGCAAGAUUUUAAGUUCCGAACCAUUCCCGACGGCCUUCCUUACUCAGAUGCCAACUGUACUCAAGAUAUUCCAGCACUCUGUGAAUCCACCUCCAAGAAUUGCUUAGCCCCUUUUUGUGAGCUUAUUUCACAACUCAACUCAAUGGCAGCUUCUCCUUCUAGUAAUAUGCCACCAGUUAGUUGUAUUGUUAGUGAUGCUAUUAUGUUUUUCUCUGUGAUGGCUGCCAAUGAGUUUAAAAUCCCUUAUGCUUUUAUUUGGACUGCUAGUGCUUGUGGCUACCUUGGUUACUUCCAAUAUGAGCAUCUCAUUAAAAAAGGCUUGAUUCCACUUAAAGGUAUGGUUCCAUUUUAAUGUGUGUUUUCUUUUCUUUUUUUCAUUUUUUUUCGAUCUUCCUUAAAAAUGAAUUUUUGUGUGGUAGAAUUUAAAAUUAAAAAUAAAAUUUAAAUUUUAGGGAGACUUUUUCAAAAAUGGUAUAAUCAACUAAAAUAUUUACAAAAUAUAUCAAAAUUUCAAAUCUUAUCCAUAGUAGAUAUAGAUAGAUUUCGCUCUUACUUGCUAUAUUUGAUAUAAUAACUUUUCUUAAUUUUAUUUUUAAUAAAUUCUUUUUUUUUAAAAAAAAAUGAUAGAACAUGUAAAAAAAAUUAACCUAAGAAUGACAUAUAUACUUAUUAGGAUAAAAAUUUGAAAAUUUAGAAACAAGUCAGAUACUUAUAUGUUUCAAGAGAAUACUUAUAUGUUUCAAGAGAAUUUUUUGUGGGAUAGACUUGUAUCAGUUUAAUUCUAUCACGUGAUAUAGUUAGUGUUGAUGAUGAGCUUCUCUCUGUCAAUUUCAAUCACAGAUAGAUAUUGAUAAACUUCUAUCAGCCUUUAUCAAUGAUAAGCUUCUAGUAUUGAUAGAUGACACUGAUAGAUUUCUACCUGUGUUUAGCCUGGAUUUUCUAAAUUUUUUAUUAGCGUCUAUCAGAAUGAUAAGAAAUUUAGAAUUUUUUGCAAUAACUAGUAAGUAGUUUAACCUAUCUUCCAAUUAAAAAAAGAACUUGGACAUCCACUAGAAUACACAAUCAUGUGGACCAAACUCAUCAUUUUAACCAAAUUCUUUAUUUUGAUGUUUGAGUAUUUAGUUUUGAUCUCUUCCCUGGUUAAUAGAUAU
rnacentral:lncRNA from 1 species